rnacentral:misc_RNA from 1 species
CCAACAGCAGGAUUGGCAACACUAUUUUUUAUAUCUUCUGGAUUAUGAGAAUCUUUCCUAUUUGAGAGCUCUGGUGAUGAUUGGCUUUCCUCGCCUGUGUCUGAAUUUAUGCAGCAUGACUCAUCCUUGUUUUGCAAUUUCCAUUCCAAAGGUUUGGAACCUGAGUCCAGUGAAUGGCUUAAAGGACGAUGGAGGUCCUCUGUACCCAUAUUGUCACUGCAAGACCACAUAUUGGGUAAUGAUUCUGCCAACCACCCAACUUUCAUAUGAGCAGUGUUAUGAAGGUUAGGAAUAGAAAUUGGACUUGAUGCUCCCUUUGAAUUUUCCAUCAGGGUUUCAACAUCAGCCNUGAUUCUUUUGGAAAAAGCUGUCUUGAGAAGAAAAGGAUUUAUCAUUUCUACUGAGAGGCUUAUUCACUUCGUUAGUGCCCUCAGUAGAAAAUGAGGGAUUAUUUUCUUCAAC